CUUGACCGACCCGAGCAGCAGCGGACGGUCCGCCGGGCGCCCCUGGCCGUAAGUGGCGAGCAGCGCCUGCGCUUC
rnacentral:antisense_RNA from 1 species